GGUGGUCAAGAUCCAAAGGAGCUUGGGGGGCUUUUUGAACCCUUAAUUUUACAUUUUUCUCAUGUUUUGACACAUUUUUUGUACCACGAACUUUUUAAACCUAAUUUUUUUUUACCCUAAAACGUUUUUAUUUUGAUUCAACCACAGAAAACAACAACUUAAAUAUCCAAUUACGAUGUGAAAUCAUUAAUUAUUUGUUUUAUUAUUAAUUUAUAUUUUACUUUUCCAUUUAAAUAAUAUUUGUGCCCAUAGUUACAAGAAUUCAUGGUGGCUCAGCGGUGGGUUUGAAACUUUAUUUGUGAUUUUGACCUCCAUGUAACGGGUUCAAGCUGCAGCUAAAUCUUUGUAUCUUCUUUUCAAAUAUUCAUGCUUCACCCACUCGCGAGGAAGGCAGCGCGAACUCGUGCGAGGGAUGUAGCCCAGCCUCGCGUGCCCGCAGCGCACGCUCGCGGGGAAGGAUACGAGCGCGCGCGCGGCAUGCACGAGAGUGGGCAGCCUCGCGGCACCAUCGCGAACUUUUCGAACCCUUAAUUUUACAUUUUUCUCAUGUUUUGACACAUUUUUUGUACCACGAACUUUUUAAACCUAAUUUUUUUUUACCCUAAGACGUUUUAAUUUUGAUUCGACCACAGAAAACAACAACUUAAAUAUCCAAUUACGAUGUGAAAUCAUUAAUUAUUUGUUUUAUUA
rnacentral:lncRNA from 1 species